GUUUUAAAGCAUUACUAAGUGGUAACUCAAAUUCUGAGUCAUGGCUGAAGAAUUUUUUUAUUGUGGUUGUUGGAUUGAGUCAGAUGUGCUGUCUGACUGUACUUAGGGAGAAACUCUUGUUCAGCAUGGUUCCUGUGUGCAGCAAGGCCUUCCUGUAUUUGGACACAUUUGCCACUUCAGGUCAGUGAUGUCCAAAUCCUGUAUCUAUGACUGUAAUAUGCCCAUCAAUUUGUCUUCUAAUACCCUCAUUUGUCAUCUUCUGAACUGCCAGCUUUUCUUGCAAAAGCUUCUCUUGCAUAGACUAAAUCAAAUGAAAACACAGGGGUUCCUACAACCUUUCACAACACAGAAUUCACCUGGUGAAUUUGCUAUACAACCAACAAGAAAGUCCUUGACAGCUGAUAACUGAGCAGUGACCUCCAUUUAAAACCAUUCACACACAAGAUCAAUCACAAUGCUCGGCAUAUCUCUACUGUGUUCAGCAACAACCGCAGUGUCUGCUGGAAAAAAAAUGGUCAUACUGGGUCAGACUGAAGGUCCAUCUACCUCAGUAUCCUCUGUCUGUGGCAAUGGCCAAAAAAAAAAAAAUGAUUAGGGAGGAAGAGGAGAACAGGUCCCCAAAAUAUCCUCCCAGCUUCCAAGUGUCUUCAAAUAUCUUUCAUGCAUUUCUCCUUCAUGAAAAAGUCCAGUGACAUCCUGAGCCUCAGCUAUAAAUGCUUUACUGCUACCAGUACCAGGUACAUGUUUUAUAUUUGUGUGAACACCAGACAUUAAAGGUUUGACUGUGCAGUCCUCCUUCGGGUGGAUAGGUCGUGGAGAAGACAGGUUUAGAAGUGUUACCUUCCCCAGGUGUAUCUUCAGAAUUGCAUUUGUCACUAAAUUUACACUGCUGUGCUGAUUACUCCAAAAAAAUCCUCUAGAAUAUUCCAAAUAAUAUGAACAUACUCAGCUCAUGAGUAGCAUCAUUUAACAGUAACUACUGAAAGUGGAAAUCAAUGUUUAUUUCUAAAAGAUAUAUCUAUGCUACCCUAAUCUUCUGCUAUCCUAAUCUUAAAAUUUAGAAGCAGCAUAUAUGCUUACCAGCUUGGUUGAGCCCAUACUGCUAUGAUUUCUCAGUGCUCACAGAACUCUUUGGUUCAUCCUUACUUUUUCCCUUUUGCUUUCUAAAGUUACAAUUUGGUGGCAUUAUUCCCAGCCCUGGCACAACUUGGGUUUAUUGUGACUGAUGAGACUGAUGGAUGGACUUUGAGUACGGGCACCAUAUGAUCUGACUUUCUUCUCCUAUCUGUUUGUAUAAAAAUGUUAAUUUUGUGAUAUCUAAAUUACUCAUGUAAACAUGGAUUUUGUAAAAGCCACUUCUGUUUAUAAUUUUCCUUUUUAUGAAGAUGUGCUUAUAUGAAGCAUGAUGUCUUUCCAAAACCAACUAGCAUCUUAACCCCUCACACUUGGGAAAACAAACCAACCAAGCAAAACCAUACAACGUAUCAAGGAAGAUCAAAAUCACUCCAUCAUGCUUAUAAGCAAAAAAAAAAAAAAAAAAACUAGUACUGCUCGAUACAGUGCUGUCUGAAGCAGAAUUUGUUUUCAGGAUGCAAGCUAGAAACAAUGACUGGAAAUACAUUCUAAAGCAUAACUGCAAAAUGUGGCUGAAGAGAUGGAGUACAGUAAGAUCAUCUGAGCUGAAGAUAAAUUGCAUCUCCCUCCUGAUGAGAGCUAUCAGUUUUCAAUGAACUAAUUUUUAAUGCUUGUUGGGAACACAAUGGGGAUGGAAAUCAAGGAUACAAAGAAACUGUGAUGGUCUACAACUAAUUUGAGGGCUAAAACCAUAUUUAAAUCUUAUUUUUUGACCUUAAACAAAAUACAUCAAAAUGGGAAAGGUAAGAGAAAGUCCUGGAGAACAGAACACUACUCCAUUCAAAGUAUGUCACUCCUCUCCUACUUAACAUUUCCCAGUAUCAGCCCCUUAAGGUAAUUUCAGACUCUAAGCACCAAAAUGGCUGUCUGUAUAAAUGCACACAAAAUUGAGUUAAAAAGCAUCAAAAUAAAUUUGAUGGAGAGUCAGGAGAUGCAUGUAGACAAUCUGUGUAUAUUUCAACAAAAUAAUCUUAACUACAGAGAAGGAAAGAGAACCUGAGAAAGGUAAUGGAGUUCAAUUUUCUUUAAUUAUUAAAGAUAUGAAACUACA